GACGAACGCUGGCGGCGUGCUUAACACAUGCAAGUCGAACGGAAAGGCCCUGCUUUUGUGGGGUGCUCGAGUGGCGAACGGGUGAGUAACACGUGAGUAACCUGCCCUUGACUUUGGGAUAACUUCAGGAAACUGGGGCUAAUACCGGAUAGGAGCUCCUGCUGCAUGGUGUGGGUUGGAAAGUUUCGGCGGUUGGGGAUGGACUCGCGGCUUAUCAGCUUGUUGGUGGGGUAGUGGCUUACCAAGGCUUUGACGGGUAGCCGGCCUGAGAGGGUGACCGGCCACAUUGGGACUGAGAUACGGCCCAGACUCCUACGGGAGGCAGCAGUGGGGAAUAUUGCACAAUGGGCGGAAGCCUGAUGCAGCAACGCCGCGUGCGGGAUGACGGCCUUCGGGUUGUAAACCGCUUUCGCCUGUGACGAAGCGUGAGUGACGGUAAUGGGUAAAGAAGCACCGGCUAACUACGUG
rnacentral:rRNA from 1 species